rnacentral:rRNA from 1 species
ACUCAAAUGAAUUGACGGGGGCCCGCACAAGCAGCGGAGCGUGUGGUUUAAUUCGAUGCAACACGAAGAACCUUACCUGGGCUUGACAUGGCCGUGUAAGGGCGGGAAACCGUCCCCCUCUUCGGAGCACGGUCACAGAUGUUGCAUGGCUGUCGUCAGCUCGUGUCGUGAGAUGUUGGGUUAAGUCCCGCAACGAGCGCAACCCUCGUGGCUUGUUGAGAUAUCAAGCCAGACUGCCUACAAAAUAGGAGGAAGGUGGGGAUGACGUCAAGUCCGCAUGGCUCUUACGUCCAGGGCUACACACACGCUACAAUGGCCGGUACAAUGCGCAGCCACCGCGCGAGCGGGAGCGAAUCGCCGAAAGCCGGUCUCAGUUCGGAUGGUAGGCUGCAACUCGCCUGCCUGAAGUCGGAGUUGCUAGUAACCGCGUGACAGCAGAGCGCGGUGAAUAUGUUCCCGGGCCUUGCACACACCGCCCGU